GGAAUCUUAGACAAUGGGGGCAACCCUGAUCUAGCCAUGCCGCGUGUGUGAUGAAGGCCUUAGGGUCGUAAAGCACUUUCGCCGGGGAAGAUAAUGACGGUACCCGGUAACGAAGCCCCGGCUCACUCCGUGCCAGCAGCCGCGGUAAUACGGAGGGGGCUAGCGUUGUUCGGAAUUACUGGGCGUAAAGCGCACGUAGGCCGAUCGGAAAGUUGGGGGUGAAAUCCCGGGGCUCAACCCCGGAACUGCCUUCAAAACUAUCGGUCUAGAGUUCUGGAGAGGUGAGUGGAAUUCCGAGUGUAGAGGUGAAAUUCGUAGAUAUUCGGAGGAACACCAGUGGCGAAGGCGGCUCACUGGCCAGAUACUGACGCUGAGGUGCGAAAGUGUGGGGAGCAAACAGG
rnacentral:rRNA from 1 species